CAGACUUGGACUUGGUUAAUCAUCUGGGGUUCUCCCCAGUGCACUUUUCCAGUUCAGGCCAGCAUCAGUUUGGGCGGUUGGAUAAAGGUCUCUGUCACGUACCUCCUUUCGGGGAGGCCUUAUAGGGGAGACGUCAUACAACCAGCCUGGACUGAGGUCCGCGCAUCUGCUAGGAUGCUGGCGUAAUGGCUGUAAGCGG
rnacentral:rRNA from 1 species